UAUCUUUGCAAAAAUUUUGGUUUCCAGCAUAUUGGAAAUAAUAGGGAAUUGGGUGCGAUGCCCAAACUGUCCCCGCAACUGUAAAUCGCAAUAAGAUUUUCUGCAAAAAACCACUGUUCAUACGGGAAGGUGCAGAAAGCGAAAGUCAGGAGACCUGCCAAAAUUAUAAUUAAAAA
rnacentral:ncRNA from 2 species